AACAGGAUUAGAUACCCUGGUAGUCCACGCCGUAAACGAUGUCGACUUGGAGGUUGUGCCCUUGAGGCGUGGCUUCCGGAGCUAACGCGUUAAGUCGACCGCCUGGGGAGUACGGCCGCAAGGUUAAAACUCAAAUGAAUUGACGGGGGCCCGCACAAGCGGUGGAGCAUGUGGUUUAAUUCGAUGCAACGCGAAGAACCUUACCUACUCUUGACAUCCAGAGAACUUUCCAGAGAUGGAUUGGUGCCUUCGGGAACUCUGAGACAGGUGCUGCAUGGCUGUCGUCAGCUCGUGUUGUGAAAUGUUGGGUUAAGUCCCGCAACGAGCGCAACCCUUAUCCUUUGUUGCCAGCGGUUAGGCCGGGAACUCAAAGGAGACUGCCAGUGAUAAACUGGAGGAAGGUGGGGAUGAC
rnacentral:rRNA from 1 species